rnacentral:rRNA from 1 species
AUGAGGAAGGAAUUUGGGGGUUUUGGUAUUACUGACAUUGGGGACAUGAAUCUGGCCCUAUUAGCUUCUUGGAUUAGUAGGUACUACAACUCCGAGGGCAAGAUUUGAAAGAAUAUUAUUGAUUCCAAAUAUAACCCCCAGAAUAGCAACAUUUUUGCUUGUUCUGCUGCUGGAGCCUCCCCUUUCUGGAAAGGACUGCUUUGGGCAGCAGAAGCUGCUAAAAUUGGCUUUUCUUGGAAGAUUGGUAAUGGCAAGAGGGCUAGAUUCUGGGAGGAUCAUUGGUUUGGCAAUGCUACUUUGGCUACCCAGUAUUGGGAUCUCUAUAACCUAGCUAAUGAGCAUAAUGCCACCAUAGAUAAAAUCUGGGAUGGCUAUACCCUGAAGCUCACUUUUAGGAGAUGCUUCACCCAGGAACAGAUGGCCCUUUGGUUUGAGCUUUUAGAAAUUGCUAGUUCCAUUCAUUUGAUAGAUGAGGAUGACUCCCCUGUUUGGAAUCUGAAUUCUAAAGGGGUCUAUACAGUUAAAUCCUUUAUAAUUUUAUCAAUUUCAGAGGAGUUCUGCCUACUAGUUCUCCUGCUGUGUGGAACCUUAAAAUUCCUCCCAGGAUUCAAAUUUUUCUCUGGCUUUUGGUCAAUAAUAAAUUGCUGA